rnacentral:rRNA from 1 species
AUAGAUGGGUCUGCGUGCCAUUAGCUGGUUGGUAGGGUAACGGCUUACCAAGGCGAUGAUGGCUAGGGGGUCUGAGAGGAUGAUCCCCCACACUGGGACUGAGACACGGCCCAGACUCCUACGGGAGGCAGCAGUGAGGAAUCUUGCGCAAUGGGGGCAACCCUGACGCAGCCACGCCACGUGCCGGAAGACGGCCCUACGGGUUGUAAACGGCUUUUGUUUGGGAAGAACUGUCCUGUUUCGAUGGGGCUUGACGGUACCAAACGAAUAAGCACCGGUUAACUCCGUGCCAGCAGCCGCGGUAAUACGGAGGAUGCAAGCGUUGUCCGGAAUCACUGGGUGUAAAGGGUGCGCAGGCGGGCGCCUAAGUCGGGGGUGAAAUCUUGCCGCUUAACGGUAAAAUGGCCCCCGAUACUGGGUGUCUUGAAUCUGACAGAGGUCGGUGGAAUUCGUGGUGUAGCGGUGAAAUGCGUAGAGAUCACAAAGAACACCAGUGGCGAAGGCGGCCGGCUGGGUCAGUAUUGACGCUGAGGCACGAGAGCGUGGGGAGCGAACAGGAUUAGAUACCCUGGUAAUCCACGCUGUAAACGAUGUAUGCUAGUUGUCGGGCCUUUGGGUUCAGUGACGCAGUUAACGCAGUAAGCAUACCACCUGGGGAGUACGUUCGCAAGAAUGAAACUCAAAGGAAUUGACGGGGGGCCCCCCCAAGCGGUGGAACCUGGUGCCUUAUUUCGGGGCACCGCGAAAAACCUUACCCGGGGUUAAAUCACCCGGGAACCGCUCCCGAAAACGGAGCUUCC